rnacentral:rRNA from 1 species
CUUAAGGCUUACGGUGGAUACCUAGGCAUUCAGAGACGAAGAAGGGCGUGGCAACCGACGAAACACUUCGAAGAGCUGGAAACAAGCAUGGACUCGGAGAAUCCCGAAUAAGGCAACUUUAAAAACUAUUUAUCGAAUUCAUAGAUAAAAAAGAGAUAACCCAGUGAAUUGAAACAUCUCAGUAGCUGGAGGAAAAGAAAGCAAAAGCGAUUCCCUUAGUAGCGGCGAGCGAAGCGGGAACAGCCUAAACCAAUCGAACAAAAGUUUAAUUGGGGUCGUGGGAGGAUAUUCUUUAAAAUCUAUAGAAGGAAUUGUUCUACUUAGUAGAACAAUAUACCUUAAAGGUCUUUAGACUCUGAUGGUGUUUAGACCAUCUGGAUUUUAAUAGGUUAAAUAAUUUAAGUAGAUGAAACAGCUGAUUCCUGUACCAUAGAAGGUGAUAGUCCUGUAAUUAAAACUUAAAUAAUUUUAGACUUAUAUCUUAUCCCAAGUAGCAUGGGGCACGUGAAAUCCCGUGUGAAUCAGCGAGGACCACCUCGUAAGGCUAAAUACUCCUGAAUGACCGAUAGUGAAACAGUACCGCGAGGGAAAGGUGAAAAAGAACCCCUUAAGGGGAGUGAAAUAGCACAUGAAACCGUAAUCUAGCAAGCUGUGGGAGAGGUACUUGUACCUUGACCGCGUGCCUGUGGAAGAAUGAGCCGGCGACUUAUAGGGAGUGGCUUGGUUAAGAAUUUCAAUCCAAAGCCAAAGCGAAAGCAAGUUUGAACAGAGCAAUUCUGUCACUCCUUAUGGACCCGAACCCGGGUGAUCUAACCAUGACCAGGAUGAAACUUGGGUAACACCAAGUGGAGGUCCGAACUCAUCGAUGUUGAAAAAUCGUGGGAUGAGUUGUGGUUAGGGGUAAAAAAUGGCAAUUUUGCCCCUCAAAAAGGUGACUUUUUGUAGUAUACUGACUCAUAACGGUGAAACCUAAAGGUUGUUUACUAAGUAAAAAACAAACGUAAUGAUCCAAGGUAAUACCGUGGGAAGUUUAAUUCAUUGAGAAGUAAAUUUGUUUUUAAUCUUUUUAAAAACACGUGUAUUAAACCCCGUAACGACUAACUCAAAAGAGUCUAGCAAAUAUCAAAGUUUUGCUUUGCAACCAUUUUGCUAGCACGUCAGCACUCACAUACUUCAAUCUUUAUUUUUUAAUAAUAAAAAAGCUUAUUAAAAUACUAUAAAGAUGUGAGUUGAAGGUAUAGUCUAAUCUUAGUUGAAAAACUAAGGGUUUCUUCUUUGUUUUAGUAAGAAACCAAUAAAUGGAAAUGCCAAUCGAACUCGGAGCUAGCUGGUUCUCCCCGAAAUGUGUUGAGGCGCAGCGAUUCAAGAUGUACGGUAUAGGGGUAAAGCACUGUUUCGGUGCGGGCUGCGAAAGCGGUACCAAAUCGUGGCAAACUAAGAAUACUAAGCUUGUAUUCCUUGAAUCAGUGAGAACAUGAGGGAUAAGCCUCAUGUUCAAAAGGGAAAUAGCCCAGAUCACCAGUUAAGGCCCCCAAAUGACAGCUAAGUGAUAAAGGAGGUGAGAGUGCAGAAACAACCAGGAGGUUUGCUUAGAAGCAGCAAUCCUUUAAAGAGUGCGUAAUAGCUCACUGGUGGAGCGCUCUUGCGCCGAAAAUGUAUGGGACUAAGUUGUCUGCCGAAGCUGUGGGAUAUUUACAAACGUAGAUAUCGGUAGGGGAGCGUUCUGCUGUAGGUUGAAGCAUGUAUGUCAAUACGUGUGGACGAAGCAGAAGUGAGAAUGUCGGCUUGAGUAACGAAAACAUUGGUGAGAAUCCAAUGCCCCGAAAAGCUAAGGUUUCCUUCACUAGGUUCGUCCAUGGAGGGUUAGUCAGAACCUAAGGUCAGGCCGAAAGGCGUCGCCGAUGGAAAGCAGGUUAAUAUUCCUGUACUAAUAAUAACUUACAACCGAGGGACGGAGUAGGUAUGCAUACACUAGAAUUGGAACUAGUGAGAAGCGUAUGAGGUGAUGAGAAACAGAACAAAAACUGUAUUUGAGCUGAAUCGCAUUAUGUAUUUAUGUUUUUUCUCUUUGAGAAAGUAAGUAAAUAUUAUGUUUAAUAUCAGACUUCCAAGAAAAGCUCGUACUUGUUUUUGGUAUAGCCAAAAAAAGUUAUUUAUUAUCUGUACCCGAAUCCGACAAAGGUAGCUAGGUAGAGUAUACCUAGGGGCGCGAGAUAACUCUCUCUAAGGAACUCGGCAAAAUGACCCCGUAACUUCGGGAGAAGGGGUGCCUCCGAGAGGAGGUCGCAGUGAACAGGCCCAGGCGACUGUUUACCAAAAACACAGGUCUCCGCGAAGUCGUAAGACAAAGUAUGGGGGCUGACGCCUGCCCGGUGCUGGAAGGUGAAGCAAGUUGGUUAUUUGACUUUUAGUCAGAGAAGCUGACGACCGAAGCCCCAGUGAACGGCGGCCGUAACUAUUCGACCAGAGUAGUUAUAAAAUUUGGCUAUAUGCUGGAAACUCUCGCAAAAAUAACAUUACUUAGUUUUUAAACAAGUGAAAAUAUGUUAUUAAGAGACAAUCAGCAGGAAAUCUUUUAUUUCAGAUGCGAAGCAAUAAGUACAAGCUAAAAGUUUAAAUCUUUUAAAAGUACUAUAAAAAAUGCUUAAGUAUUUUAUUAAAAUAAAAGUUGAUGGGACAAAACAACCUAGAUUUAGAAAAUUCAAAAAUAAGAACACAAUUAGCAUAUUAUUUAGCAGGAUUUUCUGAUGCAGAAGGUAGUUUUAAUGUUUCUUUGAUUCGACAAGAAAAUAAUAUAAGAGUGCCUUGGAAAAUUAGACCAAUCUUUAGUGUUCGUCAAAAAGAUAGCGAUAUAUUAUCCUAUUUACCUAAAAUCUUAGGUUGUGGGAACGAACCAUAUAUUGGCUCAGACGAAAUUGCUACGUUUUCAGUAACAAAUCUGACAGCUUUGCGUAAACACGUUAUUCCUUUUUUUGAGAAAUUUACUUUUCAAACAUUAAAGAAACAACAAGAUUUGGUAAACUUUAAAGAAAUUUUACGAAUUUUAGAAAAACCAGAGAAUUUGCUUACUCAUUCUGAUAUUAAGCAAAUCCUGGCUUUACGUGUUAAUUCAGAGGCAAUUGUUGGUAAACGCACUUAUAAGGAUGAAGAGGUACUAGCUCUUUGGCAAGACCCAGAAAUUUUUACAAAAUCAGCAGAAGAAAUACAAAAUUCCUCAGAGACUACUAUGCCAAAAUCACGAAAAGUGAAACCCACUUUAAAUGAUAAGAUAGAGUCCGACCUUUAUAGCGAUAUAAAGGCUCAAGAAGAUCUAUUUUGUGAAAUAGAUUCGAAUGAUGCACUAUGUUUUUUUAUAGCUGGCUUUACAGAUGGAGACGGAAGCUUUAAUGCAAGUUUUCGCAUAAAUCAUAGCCCAGAGA